UGGGGAAUAUUGGACAAUGGGGGGAACCCUGAUCCAGCCAUGCCGCGUGUGUGAAGAAGGCCUUAUGGUUGUAAAGCACUUUAAGCGAGGAGGAGGGUACUGGUAUUAAUACUACCAGCUACUGGACGUUACUCGCAGAAUAAGCACCGGCUAACUCUGUGCCAGCAGCCGCGGUAAUACAGAGGGUGCGAGCGUUAAUCGGAUUUACUGGGCGUAAAGCGUGCGUAGGCGGCUAAUUGAGUCGGAUGUGAAAUCCCCGAGCUUAACUUGGGAAUUGCAUUCGAUACUGGUUAGCUAGGGUGUGGGAGAGGAUGGUAGAAUUCCAGGUGUAGCGGUGAAAUGCGUAGAGAUCUGGAGGAAUACCGAUGGCGAAGGCAGCCAUCUGGCCUAACACUGACGCUGAGGUACGAAAGCAUGGGGAGCAAACAGG
rnacentral:rRNA from 1 species